GCCUAGUUUGCGCAGUAGGCAGCGCGUCAGUCUCAUAAUCGAAUUUAGAAAUCUGAAGGUCGUGAGUUCGAUCCUCACACGAGGCA
rnacentral:tRNA from 1 species